rnacentral:rRNA from 1 species
AACGAACGCUGGCGGCACGCCUAACACAUGCAAGUCGAACGAGAUCUUCGGGUCUAGUGGCGCACGGGUGCGUAACGCGUGGGAAUCUGCCCUUUGGUUCGGAAUAACAGUUGGAAACGACUGCUAAUACCGGAUGAUGACGAAAGGCCAAAGAUUUAUCGCCAGAGGAUGAGCCCGCGUAGGAUUAGCUAGUUGGUGUGGUAAAGGCGCACCAAGGCGACGAUCCUUAGCUGGUCUGAGAGGAUGAUCAGCCACACUGGGACUGAGACACGGCCCAGACUCCUACGGGAGGCAGCAGUGGGGAAUAUUGGACAAUGGGCGAAAGCCUGAUCCAGCAAUGCCGCGUGAGUGAUGAAGGCCUUAGGGUUGUAAAGCUCUUUUACCCGGGAUGAUAAUGACAGUACCGGGAGAAUAAGCUCCGGCUAACUCCGUGCCAGCCGCCGCGGUAA